rnacentral:rRNA from 1 species
ACUGAUGGUGCGGAGCCGGGGCGAAGGGGAGUUUUAACUGAGCGUUCAGUUACUUGACGUAGACCCGAAACCGGGCGACCUACCCAUGAGCAGGCUGAAGCGAAAGUAAAAUUUCGUGGAGGUCCGAACCCACGAGCGUUGAAAAGCUCGGGGAUGACUUGUGGGUAGCGGUGAAAUUCCAA